CAGCUACUUACAAAUGGGGGACAUUUCAGUACAUGAUUAGUUAUGACGAAGCAAAUUUGCAAAAAUGACAUAUCGACCUCAACAUAUCAUUGUUUACCACCUCUAAUGAAGCUAUGGAUUCAAAUUUGCUAAAUUCAUAUUUUGUGCAAGCAAGUAAUCAAUUUCAUUCAGCCUGAACAAUUUCUGUGGUGCACGGGGAACAUGUUGUUCAUGCGCACAAAUUCACACAAUGGACAGAUUG
rnacentral:lncRNA from 1 species